UCUAGUCUAGGUGUACAUAUAAGAAGGGGUACACCAGCUAGAUAAUUCGCUCGCUCGAUGGAACCGUCAACCCACCCACCUGAAAAAAUCAACCGUGCAUCCAUCUCAUCCCUCCUCACCAUGGCCAUAUCGCUGCCUUAAACCUACACCUUGGCUCUACUUGCCGUCCCCGUCGCCCCGGAUGUCCAACCAGAACCAGAACCCGGCCUGAGCGUGGAGGCCACCAACGCUACGUGUGCGACCGCUUCAGUCCAAUUUCGGUGCAGCCAUCUGUUACUAGCCAAGCUGGAUGUCAGGACGCCGGAGGUGAAGGACGUCAUCGGAAUGUCGGUCCAGGUGGGCGCCAAGGCGGCAACGGAGGCGGCCGCCAGCAAGAAACCCUCCGAGUGCAUCGCCGACUGCCUCCAGGACCUUGCCUCCAUGUGGAGCAAAACAAGGAGCUUCCUACUCAUUGCAUAUCACCGAGCCAUUAUUGAUGCAACAGCGAUAAGAAUCAGAGGCCAUCAGUGACACGUAGAGCUUCGAAGGCAUCACCGAAUUUUCGCCAUGCGUGGUACGUUCCUCAUCUGACAGCAUCUGGAUAGUCGGCGAAGCACGCGGAGGGUUUCUUGGCAUCCUUGUCGAAUGCGGCCGCCUCCGCCACCUUCUUGGCGGCCACCUGGACCGACAUUCCGAUCACGUCCUUCACCUCCGGCGUCCUGACAUCCAGGUUGGUUAGUAGCAUAUGGCUGCACUAAAAUUUGGCCGAAGCGGUCGCGCACGUAGUGUUGAUGGCGUCCACGGGGUUCUGGUUCUGGUUUGGACACCAGGGGUGACGGCGAUGGAAGAAUAGCCAAGGUGUAGGUUUAAGGCAGCAGCAACAUGGCCAUGGUGGUGAUGGAUGAAGUGGAUGGACGGUUGAUUUGGUAAGGUGUGUGGGUGUACCCACAAAAAUUCUGGUAAUGCCUUUGAAGCUCUAUGUGUCACUGAUGACCUCUUGAAGAGGAGGGCGUUUUUCAGGAAGCAAUAGCAGCUCGGCAAGAAAACGGCAUCACCUCACUGAAGAUUUGUUCUGUCGUUUUUAUAUUUCUGCUUACUGAUUCUUAUUGCUAUUGCUUAAAUAAUGGCUCAGUGGCAUGCAAUGGGAGCGAGUAGGAAGCUCCUUGUUUCGCUCCAAGCCAAAGGUUUCCAGCAAUGGCGGAGCUAAAUGUGUUAAAGGGCAAUAUUUUUAGGUGCUAGGAUUAAGGAAAAGUGUAGCCACCUCCAUGUCUUUUUAUAUUACAAUUUUUGUAUCAUGCAAUCCAUUUGCUCGAGACGAAGAUAAAUUGGUCGGCUAUUAUAUAUACUUUAUAAUUUUGUUUUUAGCUUGUUCAUAACUAUUCCUUCUAUUCACUUACGCCUACAAUCA